rnacentral:lncRNA from 10 species
GUUGGACUUUCCGGGUGCCAGGCAGGCCCUGCAUUCCAUCUGUUCAGCAACUCUCCAAGAUAAUGUUUUUCAACAAAUAUUAACCGCCUGGGAGGAAAUACAGAAGUGAACAAUCAAAUGAAAUAAAAAUAAAACUGAUGUUAAUAACAAUAAAGCCUCAAAUAGCAACGAACCCAGAGAGACAUCAACCUGGGCUUCCCAAUCAUCCAGGAGUUGUCCCAGAAAGGAUAAUCCAACAGAUGCAGCAGGCUAGAGUCCAAUGGACCCAUCUCAGCUCACUGCAGCCUUGACCUCCCCAACUCAAGCGAUCUGUCCACCUGCGUCUCCCAAAGUGUUGGGAUUACAGGAGUGAGCCACUGCACCUCGCCACGGAAAAUUUCAAUAAACAGCAUUGGAAUAACUGAUCAACAAUCUGAUGCCCUCAAAAUUAUUUUCAGGGUCUAUCAAUCAUCGCCGGGGAUAACUUCCUUCAGAGUCACAUUACCUGAUUAGAAUUCCACUUCCUGUUCUUCAGAAGUCUCGCCUUGGAUAGAUUUGACCUAAGGUAUUC